rnacentral:rRNA from 1 species
AUGGGCGGGCAUAGGAGCGGGCAUGUGCCACGGGGUAAAUCCGAGGAGCUCGGUGGCUACCCCUGCAAUGGCCAUGGCGGACGGCGGUUCUCGGCCACGGCAAAAUACCUAACGAGAGCAAACGAGAGGGGAAACUGGGGAAAGGCAAGAGGAGAUCACGGCGGUGUCAAUGGCACCCUAGGGGAAGACAGGGGAGCUCAGGGAAACGCGGAUCAAAUGGCAAUGUCGCGGUGGCCGAAGGUUGAGGAAGACGGAAACGACGUCGAUCUGGGGGUGCUAGACUUGAUCUCAUUGGCGCAGACGAAGUAG